CCCUGCCAUUUGUACACACCGCCCGUCGCACCUACCGAUUGAAUGGUCCGGUGAAAUUUUCGGAUUGUGGCAGUUUGCCUUCAUUGGCGGCAGCCGUGAAAAGUCAAUUAAACCUUACCAUUUAGAGG
rnacentral:rRNA from 1 species